GAUGAACGCUGGCGGCGUGCCUAAUACAUGCAAGUCGAGCGAACGGACGAGAAGCUUGCUUCUCUGAUGUUAGCGGCGGACGGGUGAGUAACACGUGGAUAACCUACCUAUAAGACUGGGAUAACUUCGGGAAACCGUAGCUAAUACCGGAUAAUAUUUUGAACCGCAUGGUUCAAAAGUGAAAGACGGUCUUGCUGUCACUUAUAGAUGGAUCCGCGCUGCAUUAGCUAGUUGGUAAGGUAACGGCUUACCAAGGCAACGAUGCAUAGCCGACCUGAGAGGGUGAUCGGCCACACUGGAACUGAGACACGGUCCAGACUCCUACGGGAGGCAGCAGUAGGGAAUCUUCCGCAAUGGGCGAAAGCCUGACGGAGCAACGCCGCGUGAGUGAUGAAGGUCUUCGGAUCGUAAAACUCUGUUAUUAGGGAAGAACAUAUGUGUAAGUAACUGUGCACAUCUUGACGGUACCUAAGCAGAAAGCCACGGCAACUACGUG
rnacentral:rRNA from 1 species